rnacentral:rRNA from 1 species
CACGUAGGGCGCAAGCGUUGUCCGGAAUUAUUGGGCGUAAAGAGCUCGUAAGCGGUCUGUUGCGUCCGCUGUGAAAACUCGGGGCUUAACCCCGAGCCUGCAGUGGAUACGGGCAGACUAGAGGUAGGUAGGGGAGAAUGGAAUUCCCGGUGUAGCGGUGAAAUGCGCAGAUAUCGGGAGGAGCACCGGUGGCGAAGGCGGUUCUCUGGGCCUUACCUGACGCUGAGGAGCGAAAGCGUGGGGAGCGAACAGG